UGCCGCGAGCUGGAGCCUUACG
rnacentral:miRNA from 1 species